CAAGGAGGACGGGCGGCCGCCCCGAUCUAAUCGGGGAGGAAAGUCCGAGCACCACCGGGCAGGAUGCCCGCUAACAGCGGGGCGGGGUGACCCGACGGAAAGUGCAACAGAAAACACACCGCCUCGAUGCGAAUCGGGGUAAGGUCGAAAUGGUGAGGUAAGAGCUCACCGCUCCGGUGGUGACAUCGGAGGCACGGUAAACCCCAUCCGGUGCAAGGCCAAAUAGGGAGACGCAGGAGCCCGGCCAGUCUCCGGGUUGGCCGCUCGAGUCCCGGCGCAAGCCGGGACCUAGAUGGAUGGUCGCCAUCCUGGCGAGGCGGGGGACGAAGGCGCAAGCCGUAAACCCCACGUCGCCCGGAACAGAACUCGGCUUACAGUCCGCCUUGUCGU
rnacentral:RNase_P_RNA from 1 species